CACGUAUGGGGCGAGCGUUGUUCGGAAUUAUUGGGCGUAAAGGGCACGCAGGCGGAUUUGUAAGUCUGGUGUGUAAGACCGCAGCUUAACUGCGGGACCGCACUGGAAACUAUUAAUCUAGAGUUCAAGAGGGGAAGCUGGAAUUCCAGGUGUAGGGGUGAAAUCUAUAGAUAUCUGGAAGAACAUCAGUGGCGAAGGCGAGCUUCUGGCUAUGAACUGACGCUGAGGUGCGAAAGCGUGGGGAGCAAACAGG
rnacentral:misc_RNA from 1 species